rnacentral:lncRNA from 1 species
CGGAUCAAGCUCUAGUUUUAUAUUUAUCAGUAAAUGUAUUUUAUUGGUAAGAUUAGAAGACUGCAUUGCCGACAAGGAGGUUUCUUAUAACAAUAGCAGGCAUGUUGACUUUAGUUUUUCCGACAAGGAGGUUUAAUAUAACAAGUGCAGUCAUGAUAGUGUUUCUUUCGAAAAAUGGUGUUCACACAGUCGCAACGCUCGAAUGUUACUAUUGACACCUUCCUUUCAUCCUGACACUUCUUGUUUCCAUCAG